rnacentral:rRNA from 1 species
UACGUAGGGUGCGAGCGUUGUCCGGAAUUACUGGGCGUAAAGAGCUCGUAGGUGGUUUGUCGCGUUGUUCGUGAAAACUCACAGCUUAACUGUGGGCGUGCGGGCGAUACGGGCAGACUGGAGUACUGCAGGGGAGACUGGAAUUCCUGGUGUAGCGGUGGAAUGCGCAGAUAUCAGGAGGAACACCGGUGGCGAAGUCGGGUCUCUGGGCAUUAACUGACGCUGAGGAGCUAAAGCAUGGGGAGCGAACAGG